GUGAGAAGACGGAGGAAGAGGCCCUGGCUGGGGCAAAUGAGGAGGAGGUGGGGCCGGGAACUGAGAAGGUGCAGGAGGAGGCUGCCUGCAUUGACGAGGCAGAGGAGGAGGCAGGCCCAUCCCUUGAAAAUGACGAGGAGUCCCCAGCCAGCGACCUGGUUGAGCAGGAAGACCAGCUUGCCCCCAAGGUGGACGGGAUGGACGAUGAAAGCCGUAAGUAUUCUGGAACCCGGCUCUGCUGAGGAGAAGUCCAGGUGUUGAGGAAGGGCGGGGGUGCUUUCCUGCCCCUUUGGUUUGCAGAGACACCCUGAUUCUGGUUCCUC
rnacentral:lncRNA from 1 species